UACGUAGGUGGCAAGCGUUGUCCGGAAUUAUUGGGCGUAAAGCGCGCGCAGGCGGUCCUUUUAAGUCUGAUGUGAAAGCCCACGGCUCAACCGUGGAGGGUCAUUGGAAACUGGGAAACUUGAGUGCAGAAGAGGAUAGUGGAAUUCCAAGUGUAGCGGUGAAAUGCGUAGAUAUCAGGAGGAACACCGGUGGUGUAGACGGCUCUCUGGACCGUAACUGACGCUGAGGCACGAAAGCGUGGGUAGCAAACAGGG
rnacentral:rRNA from 1 species